AUACGGUGAAUACGUUCCCGGACCUUGUACACACCGCCCGUCAAGCCAUGGAAGCUGGGUGUACCUAAAGUCGGUAACCGUAAGGAGCGGCCUAGGGUAAAACUAGUAACUGGGGCU
rnacentral:rRNA from 1 species